rnacentral:lncRNA from 1 species
GCCUUGGCUGGUGGUGUUUCAGAUCUAGAAGAGAAGAAAGGAAGAUCUCUAAUACCCUUUCAAAGGUACAACAUCAAACUAUACAAAUGUUGAUUUCUUAUAGGCUGAUUUCUAUUUGGUGUUUCGUUGGCCAUCAAAGUCCUCCACGAUCCUUUGUUGCUGGUUCCAAGAUCAUCAAAAGAAAAGGGAAGAUCCUAAUAUCUGGUAUCAGAGCCUCGUUGCUUGAUUU